rnacentral:rRNA from 1 species
UACGUAGGUGGCAAGCGUUGUCCGGAUUUACUGGGCGUAAAGAGCGCGCAGGCGGUCGUUCAAGUCGCGUGUGAAAGCCCCCGGCUCAACUGGGGAGGGUCACGCGAUACUGAUCGACUCGAAGGCAGGAGAGGGUAGUGGAAUUCCCGGUGUAGUGGUGAAAUGCGUAGAUAUCGGGAGGAACACCAGUGGCGAAGGCGGUUGCCUGGAGCUUUGCUGACGCUGAGGCGCGAAAGCAUGGGGAGCGAACAGG